UACGAAGGGGGCUAGCGUUGCUCGGAAUUACUGGGCGUAAAGCGUGCGCAGGCGGUUUUGUAAGUCAGAUGUGAAAUCCCCGGGCUCAACCUGGGAACUGCGUUUGAAACUACAAGGCUAGAGUGUAGCAGAGGGGGGUGGAAUUCCACGUGUAGCAGUGAAAUGCGUAGAGAUGUGGAGGAACACCGAUGGCGAAGGCAGCCCCCUGGGUUAACACUGACGCUCAGGCACGAAAGCGUGGGGAGCAAACAGG
rnacentral:rRNA from 1 species